AACGCGAAGAACCUUACCCAGGCUUGACAUCCUACUAAGGUUUCCGAAAGGAAACUGUGCCUUCGGGCCGUAGAGACAGGUGUUGCAUGGCCGUCGUCAGCUCGUGUCGUGAGAUGUUUGGUUAAGUCCAUCAACGAGCGCAACCCUUAUAGUUAGUUGUAUUUCUCUAGCUAGACUGCCCUGGUAACAGGGAGGAAGGAGGGGAUGAUGUCAGGUCAGUAUUACCCUUACGUCUGGGGCUACAAACACGCUACAAUGGCCGGUACAAAGGGCAGCCAAGUCGCGAGACGGAGCAAAUCCCAUCAAAGCCGGUCUCAGUUCGGAUUGCAGGCUGAAACUCGCCUGCAUGAAGCCGGAAUCGCUAGUAACGGUAGGUCAGCUAUACUACCGUGAAUACGUUCCCGGGCCUUGUACACACCGCGCAUA
rnacentral:rRNA from 1 species